CCUACGGGGGGCAGCAGUGAGGAAUAUUGGUCAAUGGGCGCGAGCCUGAACCAGCCAAGUCGCGUGAAGGAUGACUGCCCUACGGGUUGUACACUUCUUUUAUAACGGAAUAAAGUGAGGCAAGUGUGCCUUAUUGUAUGUACUUUAUGGAUAAUGAUCGGCUAACUCAGUGCAAGCAGCCGGGGUAAUACGGAGGAUCCGAGCGUUAUCCGGAUUUAUUGGGUUUAAAGGGAACGUAGAUGGGUUGUUAAGUCAGUUGUGAAAGUUUGCGGCUCAACAGUAAAAUUGCAAGUGAUACUGGCAGUCUUGAGUACAGUUGAGGUAGGUGGAAUUCGUGGUGUAGCAGUGAAAUGCUUAGAUAUCACGAAGAACUCCGAUUGCGAAGGCAGCUUACUAAACUGCCACUGACAUUGAUGCUCGAAAGUGUGGGUAUCAAACAGGAUUAGAUACCCGUGUAGUC
rnacentral:rRNA from 1 species